rnacentral:rRNA from 1 species
AACGAACGCUGGCGGCAUGCCUACACAUGCCAGUCGAACGAGACCUUCGGGUCCAGUGGCGCCCGGGUGCGUAACGCGUGGGAACCUGCCCUUAGGUUCGGAAUAACUCCCCGAAAGGGGUGCUAAUACCGGAUAAUGUCUUCGGACCAAAGAUUUAUCGCCUUUGGAUGGGCCCGCGUUGGAUUAGCUAGUUGGUAGGGUAAAAGCCUACCAAGGCGACGAUCCAUAGCUGGUCUGAGAGGAUGAUCAGCCACACUGGGACUGAGACACGGCCCAGACUCCUACGGGAGGCAGCAGUGGGGAAUAUUGGACAAUGGGCGAAAGCCUGAUCCAGCAAUGCCGCGUGAGUGAUGAGGGCCUUAGGGUUGUAAAGCUCUUUUACCCGGGAUGAUAAUGACAGUACCGGGAGAAUAAGCUCCGGCUAACUCCGUG